rnacentral:rRNA from 1 species
AUUGAAUUGAAUACACCGUUGAAUACACCGGUUCUCGUCCGAUCACCGAAGUUAAGCAACGUCGGGCGCGGUCAGUACUUGGAUGGGUGACCGCCUGGGAACACCGCGUGAUGUUGGCU